GACGAACGCUGGCGGCGUGCUUAACACAUGCAAGUCGAGCGGUAAGGCCCUUUCGGGGGUACACGAGCGGCGAACGGGUGAGUAACACGUGGGUGACCUGCCCUCAGCUCUGGGAUAAGCCUGGGAAACCGGUCUAAUACCGGAUAUGACUCCAUGACGCAUGUGUGGGGUGGAAAGCCUGUGCGGCUGAGGAUGGGCCCGCGGCCUAUCAGCUUGUUGGUGGGGUGANGGCCUACCAAGGCGACGACGGGUAGCCGGCCUGAGAGGGCGACCGGCCGCACUGGGACUGAGACA
rnacentral:rRNA from 1 species